UACGAAGGGGGCUAGCGUUGCUCGGAAUCACUGGGCGUAAAGCGCACGUAGGCGGAUUGCUAAGUCAGGGGUGAAAUCCUGGAGCUCAACUCCAGAACUGCCUUUGAUACUGGUGAUCUUGAGUCCGGGAGAGGUGAGUGGAACUGCGAGUGUAGAGGUGAAAUUCGUAGAUAAUUCGCAAGAACACCAGUGGCGAAGGCGGCUCACUGGCCCGAUACUGACGCUGAGGCACGGAAA
rnacentral:rRNA from 1 species